rnacentral:pre_miRNA from 1 species
UCUCAUGGAUGAGCAAAGAAGGUGGUUUUUUGAGAUGGAAUCCACUCCUGGUGAUGAUGCUGUGAA